rnacentral:rRNA from 1 species
AACGAACGCUGGCGGCAUGCUUAACACAUGCAAGUCGAACGCCCCGCCCGGGGUGUGGCGGUCGGGUGAGUAACGCGUGGGAAUCUACCCAUCGCUACGGAAUAACGCAUGUAAACGUGUGCUAAUACCGCAUACGCCCUACGCGGGAAAGAUUUAUCGGGGAUGGAUGAGCCCGCGUUGGAUUUGGUUGUUGGUGGGGUAAAGGCCUGCCAAGGCGACGAGCCAUAGCUGGACUGAGAGGAUGAUCAGCCACAUUGGGACUGAGACACGGCCCAAACUCCUACGGGCGGCAGGAGAGGGGAAUCUAGGACAAUAGGCGCAAGGCAGAUACAGCCAGGCGGCGUGAAUGAUGAAGGCCUUAGGGUUGUCAAGCUCUUUCACCGGAGAAGAUAAUGACGGUAUCCAGAGAAGAAGCCCCGGCUAACUUCGUG